GCUGAAAUCAAGAGUUGGUCACUCCAUCUAUUGAGCCACCAGGCACCCCAAGUUUAUCAUGGCAAAAAUGUCCAAUGAAGCUUAUCUGGAUAUCAUAAUUAAAUUAAGGUUAAAAAUAAAUAAUAGAGAUAUUAAUUCCCUGACUUAGCUAAUGAUGUUAAACUGUAAAUUAAAAAAUGCUCCUAAAAAUAACUUUCAAAUGUAAAUAAAUCUUUAGAUAGUCUCAUAUUUUUAUACAAACAAUCAGCAGUUGUCAAACAAAGUAAUUGUAGAGUGUAUUGUGGUCUUACUGGGUGUGACCCCUGUGCAGAUCCCGCUGUGUUACUCACUGUGCCUUUUUAGAAACACUAAAACUGUUCAGAAACACAAGUGCAUUCAUCAUGAGCUUGGGUGUCAUGACAAUGUCAAAUUGCUACAAAAGUUUCUAAAUACUUUCCUCCUGCACUUAUAUUGUCACAGCCUGUAAGAAAUUCAUGGACUGGUAGCACUUCGAGUUUCACUGCUAUGGCGCUCAGUUAUGGUUCCCGAAGAGGGAUAUACUACACAUUGUGAGAUGCCUUUAAAGCACCAUUUCCCAUUUUUAAAUUUGGUAAGCAUUACUUUGCCACAUAUGCAAGAUCUUUGGAAAAAUCUGACUCCAUCUCCAGUGCGAGAGCUGGGCGAAGAAACUGGGCCACAAUUUAGAGGAAGAUAAAACGGAGCACACCUUAAUCCUUACAUCUUCAGUCAUCCCGUAAUUACCUCCUGCUACACCAUCUGCAACCCACACACAAAAAAGGGUGUAGAGAGUGAUACAAUCAGAUAACACAGUAACAACAGGAUCAAAGAUGGCCAGUGGUGGAGUUUUGGUUGGUGUCUAUGCAAUCUAUGGGUAUGCCUUAAGUUUCAACAGCAUUGGUUACAAAUGAGGUCACAUGUGUAUUACCACAGCAAAAUCCCAACAACUGUGGCUGAAGUUCCAAGAGGUGGUCGUUAUUCAACCCAUGGCCAGACUUACUGCUUGGAAUUGCCUUCCAUUCAUUUUCCAGCAAAUCAACAUCAUGAACACGCAUUCGAGACAAAUGAGAAAGGGUUCUGAAUGAUUAUUUUCUCCUUCUGAAGCUUAAAUAAGCUUUCCUGGAAAGAUUUACUACCAGUGAAGAUAUGCUACCAAAUGUUAAAGAUAUCACUUGCCAACAAAACAAGGCAAACAUAUGAAGAAGAAGAAGGAGAAGAAGAAGAAGAAGAAGAAGAAGAAGAAGAAGAGGAAGAGGAGGAAGGGGAAGAGGAAGAGGAAGAGGAAGAGGAGGAGGAGGAGGAAGAAGAAGAAGAAGAAGAAGAAGAAGAAGAAGAAGAAGAAGAAGAAAGGAGGAGGAGAAGAAAGAUGGACUUUAGAGACAAGUUUAGAGGUAUCUGUUAAUAUCUAGGUACCUGGGCAAGCUCUGGUAAAUUUCUGGCCUUUUCUGCACCUCAGCUUCAUUAUGAGUAAAAUAGAGGUUUAUGAGGAUGUAUCCCUGACAAAUAGUAGGUACUCUGUAAACAGUUUCCUUCCUACCUCAAUGCUUUACUAGCCUCAGCUUCAUGUUCUAAGAGGUUUUCUCAGUUCAAGUUUCUUCCCAUCGACCACAGGUGCUACAUUCACUCCUGUUUUGUCCCCCAUUUUCUCUUGCCCAAAUCUGCUUUAGAAAACAUUUUGAAGUAGUUUAAACUCAAUUUCCAAGAUAUCUGUGUUAACUAUUUUUAGUAAUUGUGGAUUAUUAAGUGAAUGAUUAUCUGACAAAAUGAGAGAGGAUCCUGGAGGGUAAGGUAGACCUUCCUGAAUCCAAAACAUUUGCCUAUGUUGGCCAGUAUCCUCCACUGAAUACAUUUUCACUAAGGAGAGAUGGAUAUAUACAAUUAACAACAAUUCCUUAAAAUAAAGGUGUGAACUUAGACAUUAGACAAUGCAAGAGUGGCAUUGAUUGAUUCUGUCCAAAGUCAGAUGGAAAGGAGGAGUGUCAGUGGGUAGGAUUGAUGCUUAAAGAGUAUCAUUUAAGCGGUGUCUUGAAAGAUGAAUAGGAUUUUUCUAAGUUUAGGAAGAAAAGAAAAUGUCUCAAUUAAUUUACCCAAAAAUAUAUUACUUUAUUCUAACUUGUGUUUCCACCUGAAAACUCUGGUCUAGGAAUGUUAUGUAGUCUUUGUACAGAAGUCUUUACUGUUGUCAGUUUAUAAAAGCUGACAUUCCAUGACUAGCUAAUAAUUUGAGUCAUGACUCUAUUGCUAUCUUAAAUGACUCACACAGAAAGAGAAAAUGUGAAAUUAAAUUGUCUUGAAAUCAUUUCAUUUGGAUUACUUUAUUUCUCAGAAAUUUUUAGACUAAUAUAUAUCUCAAAGGGAAACCAUACAAAAAUAUGGCCAAUUUGGUAACUUGCUGAGUUCUAUAUUUCUAUUUAAUUUUUAUAUUAAAAAAUACAAUGUACUUUGGAAUUAAAAGUGAUUCAAAUUUUAAUAAGAUAAAGAUAUGACACAUUUUGAUAUUAGUGUAUUUAUUAACAUGGAUAGUCACAAUGAAUGACAAAUGUAUAAAAAGCUCAUAGAAUACAUAUUCAUAUAUAGUAGCCACAUGUACAUAUUUUACUAUAUAUAGCAUACUACGUACAAUCUUUUUUUCUGGAGGCUUUUACAUAUAUUUAAGUGUAAAAAUCUUAAAUACAGCAUCCAGUGAAUUUUACAGAGUGACCCAUAUAUCAAUGUAAGGACCACCUGACUCAAGAUAUAGAACAUUACCAUUAGCCCAGAAGCAACCUCAUGGUCCUUUUGUAGUCGUAAACCUCUACAAAGAGAAUCAAAAAUAAACCAUCAAGACUUUGUCACCAUAGAUCAAUUGUGUCUGUUUUAGAAAUUUAUGGAAAGGAAAUCAUACCGUAUAUAUUCUUUUGUUUUUAGUAUCUUUCACUAAACAUAAUGUAUGUUGUUGGAUAACAGGGAUGUACAGAUAUAUAUUAUGUAUAUAAUACAUAUGAAUCAAUUAAAUGCAUAUUUUCUUUGAUGACUAUAUACUUUCUACAGGUGUAGAUGGAUAUUUGAGAUUUUGUUCCCCAUUUUUGACUAUUAAGAAUAAUGGUUCUGUAGACAUUCUUGAUUUAAUGGUUAAAAGAAUGGAAUCUGGAAUCCCACAGCUUAACUUCAAAUCCCAAUUUCAAAACAUAUUACCUGUGUGAUCUUGAACAAGUUAUUUAGCUAUAUUUGCCUUAGUUUCUUUAUCUUUAUAGUGGGUAAUUAUAUUUACACUGCUGGUUAAUCUGACCAUUCAUUAUAUUAAGAAUGCAAAGUCCCUGAAACAGUGCCCAUGGUAAGAACUCAAUAUCUGUUUGUUUUCCAGGUACUUUUUCUUUUUGCCUUGAAUUGUAAGUCUAUUAUUAAUGUUGCCAUUUCUAUAUAUGUUAUUUUUAUUUCUGUAGUGCAUUUGUGUCUACUCCCUUUCUUUCAACAAUUCUGUAUUAAUCUUUUAAAAUUUUUGCUUGAACAUGCAUAUGUGGAAUCCUUUCAGAAGAAGUUUAUGGAUAAUAAGCUUUUUGAAUUCUUGAAUGUCCAAAAAUGCUUCUAGAGUCAGUGCCAUCACAUCAGAAGGUAGUUUAACUAGAUGCACACUUCUAAGUUCUAAUGAGUAUUUUUCUUCAGAACUUUGUUAUCCUGUAGCUAAUUAGCUGGUGUUCUGUCCCAAACUUGCUCUUUCUUCCAUAGCCCCCAGCUCUUUUCUUAGCACUCUUCCAGAGUUAUUCUAGACUUGGCGGGGGAGCCUCUCUCCACGCAUGGGAUUACAGAUGCCUCAGCCCUUUGGGCUUCCACUUUCAAUCAGGUCCCUCCACUGAGCCCCUUGUUGCAUGGUAACACGCUUUUUCACCUCUCGCACUGCUAUGGAUUUAUUUUAUGCCUUUCUUGUUUUUUCAGGACAAUUUCGAGAGAAAAGCAGGAUAAUAUCUUGAACAGGAAAUAGGAUUUUUUUUUGGACAUAGUCCUUAGCAUUUUACUUAUUUUAUCCUUUAUAAUUUAAUAUUGAGAACAAUGCGGCUUUUUAUUCAGAGACCUAUGCUCAUACUCUAGCCCUGCGUCCAUAAAUAGCUGUGUGCUCACAAGCAAGUAAUAGGUCCUUCUUUUAGAUCUGGUAUCCUCAUCUCUAAUAUGGCAUUAACUAUCAUGUAGUAGUAGCAAGUGUACCAAGAAAAGCAGUCAAUUAAUUUAAUACCAACCAUGCGUUUCUCUGUAAGCCUUUUGUGAAAUGGGGCCAGGGUUGGAAGACAAUGCACGGGGACUUAGAAGCUUGGGAUUCUAAUUCUAGCUAGCAUGGCCUUGUCUUGGUGAGUAAGCCCGGACAUGUGAUUCCAAGUUUUUGAGCCCCAAUUUCUCCUCAUUUUUAGAACAAAGAGGGGUUGUAUGAAACAAUUAAAAUCCCACAAAAUCCUUAAAAUAUCAUGUGUUUUAGAAGCCUAUGUUUCUAAGCUUAAAUUUGAGAAGGCACGAUUUCGCUACUGCAGAGUUAAUGUGUGUGUGUAUGUGUGUGUGUGUGUGUGCUGUGAAUGGAUAUCUGAGUGUAUGUGUGUGUUUGUGUGUGUGGUAUGUUGUGUAUGUAUGUGGGGACUCCAGAAGGAAAAUUUAUCUUUAGAGAAGACAUUAUUUUUGGUGUUGAAAUUGAAUGGUUCUUUCGGAAUGAAUUUAGCUUUGAUCUAUUUAUGUUGGCAGAACUCUCAGGAAGUGUACUCAGUGGAGAGAGGGACUGUUGACUGGGUGUUUGAACAGAAGCCGUUUUGCAUAUUUAUCUGUCAUCUCUUCUGGCCCUGAGGGAGCCUGAGGCUUCUGUCUGGUCUGAUUUCCCUGCCGGGGAGUCCUGUGAGAAAAUGAGGCAUAAUUUACACGAAGGGAACAGAAUGUUUCAUUGACGUAUCAGCUCUCCUUCUCUCAGAGGAUGGCAGUUCAAGCUGGCCAUCACUGCGCGGGCUUGUGCGGGUGAACCUGGAGGCUGACUUAUCUGGUUUGGCAGAGUAUCAUGAUGAAAUACAGCAGAGAAUUGCUAAAUAUCCACAUCCCUGUGUGCUGUCAGGGCACAUUAUGUACUAGUAACUCUUGGCCUUUUGGGGGAUAACAAACCUCAUCUGAGACUAUGAUCAAAGGUACCAGCUAGCACAUUAAUCAUCUUUUGCUAGAUUAUGCUAUGUAAUUUCCAGAUUUUAGGGACUUAUAGCCCAAAACACAUUUAUUUCUUGCCGAGAGGUCAUAAAGUCUGCCGGGCUACCGUGAUUGUGUUCCAGACUGGUGACCAGUGGUAAGUCUGCACCAAAGUCCUGGUGCAUUUAAUCUCAAGUCCUGGGCUGAAGAAUCUACCCUUAUCUGGGGCAUGCUAUUCUCAUAGCAUAGAAUGGUAACACAAGAGAGCCCGAAACAGACUCUAGAAUAAUUUUAAAGUUUCUGCUUAACGUGAUCAACAGCACAUCUACUCACACAUCCCAUUGUCAAGAGUAUGUCACCUGGUUAAGCCUAAAAAUCACUGAGGCAGGGAUAUAUACUCUUCCCACAUUAUUCAUUAGCAGAUCUUAUAACAUUGGACAGGUGUUAUCAUACUGUUGACGUGGCGGUGGGGGUGUAAAUGUUGAGAACAAAUAAUUUGGUCUAUCACUGUUUCCACAGGAAAUUGUCACUGCAAGCAUAGGGGUUCCAAGUAAUAGGUUAUGUCUCUUAAGCAAAUAGCCAAAUGGCAAAGUAGUACUUUUCUUCUCAAAGUAGUUCAACAUGUUUGGUGAAUAGUCUUGAAUAAAUUGUAUCAGGCAGGACUUUUCAAAAGACAUUUUUUUCCCUCUACUACUGCUUGACUUACUGAAUUUUUGCAUUUGUGAACAUUUCCAUGGAAAAGAUUUGUUUUUGGAAUGAGAUAUCUAGAUGUAUAGUAGGGAAAAGACUGAUAAUUUGGUCUACUUGAAAAAUUCUUGAGUGACAAUAAUGCCUUAAUUUAAACUUAGAAAUUGAGUUUGAAUAUUUGGUUCACAUUGUUUUUUUCUAGUAAACAUGAGAGGGUAGUGCACUGAUUAGCUGGCUAGUGUGACCUAACACAACUCAAAUUAACCCCAGGUCACGCUCACUUAAAAACUUGCAAAAAAUUUUUUGUUGUAUUUUCUCUGACGGGGGUAAUGAAAUGAUUCUAUGCAGAGCUUCAGGGGUGGGUGGUGGACAAAGAAACAAAAACAAACAAACAAACAAAAAGCCCCACAAAAAAACACCAAAAAACUUAAACAAAUAAAAAUAGUUGAAUAAUUUGGAAACUCAAUAGCAAUGAUUCUUGUUAAUAGGAGUCAUAGCUAGAGUUAAUGUCUUAACAUUUCCAGAGGACAAAGAAUGCCUGAAAGACACCAGGCCAUAUUUCCAACGUGGUUGACUUACUCCCAAAAGUAAGCAAACCAGAAUUAUUACACUCUUUUUGAAGUUAUGUCUUCACGAUGAAGUGCAAAAUGAAAAAUGACUAAUUUUCCAGAUACGAAGGUCAAAAUAAGGUUGACCUACAGAAAUAGAAGAAAGGAAGAUUUUGGCUUAAUGUUAGCAUUUACUAAUUUAUUAACCUAUAUAACAGUUGCAUUUAAUUCAUUAAGAAUGGCCUUACCAUUUUCUAGAAAACAUUCUUUUAUUAACUAGUUUAGGUAGCUCAGUGUGAUGACUUCUUAGGUCACUUUUACCACGAAGAUUCUAUAUUUCAUUAUUUCUUUGUUUUUUCUCUUCCUUCCUUUCCUCCUUCUCUCCUUUUCUCUCCCCUCUCCUUCCUUCCUUCCUUCCUUCCUUCCUUCCUUCCUUCCU